AUUGAACGCUGGCGGUAUGCCUAACACAUGCAAGUCGAGCGCCCCGCAAGGGGAGCGGCAGACGGGAGAGUAACACGUGGGAACGUACCCUUUGGUUCGGAACAACCCAGGGAAACUUGGGCUAAUACCGGAUAAGCCCUUACGGGGAAAGAUUCAUCGCCGAAGGAUCGGCCCGCGUCUGAUUAGCUAGUUGGUGGGGUAACGGCCCACCAAGGCGACGAUCAGUAGCUGGUCUGAGAGGAUGAUCAGCCUCACUGGGACUGAGACACGGCCCAGACUCCUACGGGAGGCAGCAGUGGGGAAUAUUGGACAAUGGGCGCAAGCCUGAUCCAGCCAUGCCGCGUGGGUGAUGAAGGCCCUAGGGUUGUAAAGCCCUUUCGGCGGGGAAGAUAAUGACGGUACCCGCAGAAGAAGCCCCGGCUAACUCCGUGCCAGCCGCCGCGGUAAGAC
rnacentral:rRNA from 1 species